CCUACGGGAGGCAGCAGUGGGGAAUAUUGGACAAUGGGGGGAACCCUGAUCCAGCCAUGCCGCGUGUGUGAAGAAGGCCCUCGGGUUGUAAAGCACUUUCAGUGAGGAAGAACGCCUGGUGGUUAAUACCCAUCAGGAAAGACAUCACUCACAGAAGAAGCACCGGCUAACUCCGUGCCAGCAGCCGCGGUAAUACGGAGGGUGCGAGCGUUAAUCGGAAUUACUGGGCGUAAAGCGCGCGUAGGUGGCUUGAUAAGCCGGUUGUGAAAGCCCCGGGCUCAACCUGGGAACGGCAUCCGGAACUGUCAAGCUAGAGUGCAGGAGAGGAAGGUAGAAUUCCCGGAGUAGCGGUGAAAUGCGUAGAGAUCGGGAGGAAUACCAGUGGCGAAGGCGGCCUUCUGGACUGACACUGACACUGAGGUGCGAAAGCGUGGGUAGCAAACAGGAUUAGAUACCCCUGUAGUC
rnacentral:rRNA from 1 species